ACUGUAAGGAUCCGGUUAGGUCCAACCAUUAACAUGACCAUACUUGGUGCAUCUAACCAACGAAUGAUUAAGCCCAACUUUGGUUGGCCAACCUAACCACCAUUAGAGAGACACUUCCAAGUCAUCAUAUGAUGAGUGAUAAUUUCAUUAGUCAACAAGCACCAGGCCUUUGGGUCUGCAAUGAUUAUUGAGUUAAUGGAUCCAUUAUCAAACACCUUAAUGGGAGGCUAUGACUCAGUUAUCUCCAUAACUU
rnacentral:lncRNA from 1 species